rnacentral:lncRNA from 1 species
UAAUUAAAAACAUAACUUCUUACUAUUUUAAAGUUCGAACACAACUCAAGUGAUCAUUCGAAUAAAUUUAUCUGAAAAUCAGUCUGAUCAAAUCAUUUAUAUUUCCAAUAUUUUUCGUUUUUUUUUUUUUUUUACAUUUGAAGAGUAAAAGCCGUUCGCAUAAGAUCCUCCUGCAUCUCGCAUAAUGUCUUCAGAUGGGUUAACACAACUUUUUCAAGCUUAACCAAAUUGAGACAAAUGGCACAUCGGCUCCCGUGCAGUGCAGCUGAUGAGUUGCAUUGAAAAAAAGGCAAGGCGCUCGUUUUUCCCCGAAUGUUCGGAUUUUUAUAAAAUUUAGAUUUGAAUUAGAAUUAGAAUUGUACAGCCACAUGUUUCAACGUGAUUCAUUACAAAUAUAUAACAAGAUGUUGAGGUAAACAAAAUUAAGCAAAAUAAUUUUAAACAAUAAAGUUAUUUUAAUUGCCAAAAAGAAAAUUAAAAUAAAAAUCAAUUGAAUUUUAUUCAACCGUACCUUUCCGUAGUUUGACUAAAAUAAGAAUGGGUGCUGCUGGGAAACUAACACCCAACCAACUUUCCUGGAAAGAGAAAAGCGGCAAAAUAUAAAAAUAAAAUGUUUACUAAUUAUUAAUAAUUAGGGAUAAUAGACUAAUAGACCUUUUGGGGAAAGAUCCUUUAUUAAUUAAUCAAACUCAUAGACCAUUCAAAAGUUCAAACUCGUAGACCUUUUGGGGAAAGAUCUUUUAUUAAUUAAUCAUGCAUUUUCGUUGCUGCCCACCAAUAUUUCGGAGAUUUGGGUACUUGAUAAUAAAUAUAUUUGCUUUUUAGCUCUAAGAAUAUCUAAUUCCCAAAUGAGAUUAUACCAGCCUGAAAAAAUAUAUAUGAUAAAAGCAUCUAUCACUAUCUUUAAUUGUGACUUAACAUAAGAGAGCAUACUUUUUGGGUGAAUGGACCAAGCAGGGACUUUAAUUUGCUACGUGUCUUGAGAAUUCUUUUUGCGGAAUUUGUAAGCAUAUAAGCAAUGGAAUGGAACAUCGUCGGUACUCAGUAGAAGCAACGAUGGCUAGAGAAAAUACUGUCCAAAAAGUAGAAUUAGUUGUCUUUCCCGUUUUUCUUUUUCUCAAUUAGACAUAUGCUGAGAGUUGGUUUCAUAGAGUCGAUUUAAAAUUCAAUCCAAAAAAUCUGCUCUAAUGAAAAAUAUAAAUACAGGUUCUCAAAUCAGGAUAAUUAUAAUUUUAUUGACUAUGUAUGAUUUUGUACCUCUUAUAAAAUUUUUAAUUUAAUGAUCAAAUGGGUUACACCAUCGUAAUGUGCUCUUAUGAUGUCAAAAAGCAAUUCUUAAUUAUUAAACAUUAGAGGAUACUCUUAAAACUGCACACACACACGAACAUAUUGAAUACACAGUUUUCAUCAACAAUCCAUAAGAUUGCAAUCUUCUAAAUUAGUUCUUAUAAUUGAAACCUGAUAAGCCCUUUGGAGGUAUGAACAUAAGAAAAUUGAUUGUAAUGCUAAUGCAGCCAAAGCUAGAGACAUCGACGCCAAAUCGGCACAUUCACAUGACAGUGGCAAUGGCCAUGGGGACGGGCCAAUUCGACAAGGGAAUAUUUUUGCUGUCUUAAUGUCUUUUAGUCAUUGAGUCAUUGUAACUUCCAUAAAGUUGCGUGCCAGUAAUAAUAAGACAAAUAAAUGUCCCCACCGCCUUAGCGCACAAAAAUGAAUAUGCUCGUAAAGUCUUAGGACACCUAACAAAACAAUGACGUGGAGCUCAUAUGAGGAUGAAAAUGGACAUCGUCCGCUGCGGUUUUAUUAUUACUAAAUUUGCACUUAUUAAAAAAUUAAA